rnacentral:lncRNA from 1 species
CUGCUCCCUGCACACACAUCUCGGACGCCAGAGGAAAAAGCCAAAGACCAUCUGGAACCCUGGUGCACUGAAGCUCCCGGAAGGGGCAGCACAGGUCUUCCUGGUUGCUGCCGCUGCAGAGAGCCCGUGGGCAGCACCCCACGAGCGAACUUGAGCCUCGGGACCACAGGUAAGACCAAAUUUUCUGCUGCAAGAAAGCUGCCUGGUGAACUCAAGACACAGGCCCACAGGAACAGCUGAAGACCUGUAGAGAGGAAAAACUAC